UACGAAGGGGGCUAGCGUUGCUCGGAAUUACUGGGCGUAAAGGGCGCGUAGGCGGAUAUUUAAGUCGGGGGUGAAAGCCCAGGGCUCAACCCUGGAAUUGCCUUCGAUACUGGAUAUCUUGAGUUCGGGAGAGGUGAGUGGAAUGCCGAGUGUAGAGGUGAAAUUCGUAGAUAUUCGGCGGAACACCAGUGGCGAAGGCGACUCACUGGCCCGAUACCUGACGCUGAGGCUCGAAGGCUAGGGUAGCGAAAGGG
rnacentral:rRNA from 1 species